rnacentral:rRNA from 1 species
AUCUGCCCUGGGGUACGGAAUAAAUCAGAGAAAUUGGUGGUAAUACCGUAUAAUGUCUUCGGACCAAAGAUUAAUCGCCCCAGGAUGAGCCCGCGUAAGAAUAGCUAGUUGGUGAGGUAAGAGCUCACCAAGGCGACGAUCUUUAGCUGGUCUGAGAGGAUGAUCAGCCACACUGGGACUGAGACACGGCCCAGACUCCUACGGGAGGCAGCAGUUGGGGGAAUAUUGGACAAUGGGCGAAAGCCUGAUCCAGCAAUGCCGCGUGAGUGAUGAAGGCCUUAGGGUUGUAAAGCUCUUUUACCCGGGAUGAUAAUGACAGUACCGGGAGAAUAAGCUCCGGCUAACUCCGUGCCAGCAGCCGCGGUAAUACGGAGGGAGCUAGCGUUGUUCGGAAUUACUGGGCGUAAAGCGCGCGUAGGCGGUUUUUUAAGUCAGAGGUGAAAGCCCAGUGCUCAACACUGGAACUGCCUUUGAAACUGGAAAACUUGAAUCUUGGAGAGGUCAGUGGAAUUCCGAGUGUAGAGGUGAAAUUCGUAGAUAUUCGGAAGAACACCAGUGGCGAAGGCGACAUACUGGCUCAUUACUGACGCUGAGGCGCGAAAGCGUGGGGAGCAAACAGGAUUAGACAC